rnacentral:rRNA from 1 species
CCUACGGGUGGCAGCAGUGGGGAAUAUUGGACAAUGGGGGGAACCCUGAUCCAGCGACGCCGCGUGAGUGAAGAAGUAUUUCGGUAUGUAAAGCUCUAUCAGCAGGGAAGAAAGAAAUGACGGUACCUGACUAAGAAGCCCCGGCUAACUACGUGCCAGCAGCCGCGGUAAUACGUAGGGGGCAAGCGUUAUCCGGAUUUACUGGGUGUAAAGGGAGCGUAGACGGCGAUGCAAGUCUGAAGUGAAAGGCGGGGGCCCAACCCCGGGACUGCAUUGGAAACUGUAUGGCUGGAGUGCCGGAGAGGUAAGUGGAAUUCCUAGUGUAGCGGUGAAAUGCGUAGAUAUUAGGAGGAACACCAGUGGCGAAGGCGGCUUACUGGACGAUAACUGACGUUGAGGCUCGAAAGCGUGGGGAGCAAACAGGAUUAGAUACCCGGGUAGUC